GUUUGCAUCGUCCAACAGCGUCAUUCUCCUUGCCUGAACGACGUGUGAGCAGCCAGCAGGCAGUCUUCUGGCUACUGCUGCGAGUCGUCCGGCGAUCUCCAAGAGUUUGCUAGUUGUGCGACGGCUGCCCUACUUCGGGCUUGAGAUAACAACGAAGAUGGAACGCAUGUAGGCCACCACUGUCAUUGUUGAAGCCACCCAUGACUGGAGUGACGUAGGGAAACAGUUCAGGAUGUCCUCGUUGGGGCGGCGGCGCUGGAGCUACCGGUUUUCUGAU
rnacentral:misc_RNA from 1 species